rnacentral:rRNA from 1 species
GACGAACGCUGGCGGCGUGCUUAACACAUGCAAGUCGAACGGAAAGGCCCUGCUUUUGUGGGGUGCUCGAGUGGCGAACGGGUGAGUAACACGUGAGUAACCUGCCCUUGACUUUGGGAUAACUUCAGGAAACUGGGGCUAAUACCGGAUAGGAGCUCCUGCUGCAGGGUGGGGGUUGGAACGUUUCGGCGGUUGGGGAUGGACUCGCGGCUUAUCAGCUUGUUGGUGGGGUAGUGGCUUACCAAGGCUUUGACGGGUACCCGGCCUGAGAGGGUGACCGGCGACAUUGGGACUGAGGUACGGACCAGACUGCUACGGGAGGCAGCAGUGGGGAAUAUUGCACAAUGGGCGGAAGCCUGAUGCAGAAACGCCGCGUGCGGGAUGACGGCCUUCGGGUUGUAAACCGCUUUCGCCUGUGACGAAGCGUGAGUGACGGUACUGGGUAAAUAAGCACCGGCUAACUACGUG